GNUUCCNAGACGCNGGCGGCGUCCUNACACAUGCACGUCGAACGCGAAAGUUUUCAUCGGAAGACGAGUAGAGUGGCGCACGGGUGAGUAACGCGUAAGUAAUCUGCCCUGGUAUCUGGGAUAACCCACCGAAAGGUGUGCUAAUACCGGAUACGCUGAUUUAUCAGGAAAGGUGGCCUCUUCAUGAAAGCUACUGUACCAGGAGGAGCUUGCNUACCAUUAGCUAGUUGGUAGGGUAAUGGCCUACCAAGGCAACGAUGGUUAGCGGGUCUGANNGGAUGAUCCGCCACACUGGAACUGAAACACGGACCAGACUCCUACGGGAGGCAGCAGUGAGGAAUAUUGCGCAAUGGGGGAAACCCUGACGCANCGACGCCGCGUGGAUGAUGAAGGCCUUCGGGUCNUAAAAUCCUGUCANAUGGAAAAAAUGUAUGGUGGUUAAUANCUGCCUAUUUGACGGUCCAUCAAAGGAACACCGCUACUCCUNCCANCACCNNGUAUUCNNAGGUCANCCUUUUCNAAUANUGGCUAANCCCCU
rnacentral:rRNA from 1 species